ensembl:lncRNA
CAGCCAGUCAACAACUAACCACUUCCUCUUCUGUUGUACCUCCUCCACAAAUACAUGUAAAAGAUGAUGGUAAAGUUUCACUCUGUCUUUAUUUGAUGGUCAUCAUGUUCUGUUUAAACCAAGCAGCUCUGCUCUCUGUUCAACUCUUACUCAUUGUCCAUGUUCAUGCAGUGUUGGGGAAAGGUCCAGAUGAUCUCAGGAAUACACUGGUGUCCAGAGGAGACUCCGUCAUGCUCACCUGCAACAUAUCGAUAAAUAAUGGAACACAAACCAACUGGAACAAAGACAGAUUUUAUUUCACUUAUUCAUUCACAUAUAAUCUCAAUUCUUCCAAUUUCCCCUCUGACAGACUCAGAAUAGACGUUAAUUUAACCACAACGCUGAAUAUAUUUAAUGUUCAGCAUGAAGACGCUGGACUUUAUACAUGUAAUGUAACUGAUAUAGAUGGUGUAAAGACCAUAAGGUGGAAUCUAACAGUUUCUGAGAGCUCCAAAGGAACCAGACCAUCAUCGAAUGUUCUCUACAUACUCAGACCUGUAAUUGGAUUUAUUCUAUUUUGCUUCGUGUUAGCUGUCUACAUCUGCAGAAAAUACUGGAACACGACCCCAAACGAGGAUUCAAAUGACAGCAGGACCCUGACUUCUGUCUAGUUUGUCCACUUGAAAUGAGACGUAAGAAAUGUAUCAUCAUUUAAACCAUCAUGGUCUCAUGGUCUCAUGGUCUCUGAUAUUUACUGUUCAUCUGUUUCUUUACUUUGUUUUUUCUUUCUUGGCACUGAAGUAAAGUUAUUUCUGUUUUCUGUCUCUACAGGUUGCUCCUCCUCAACUCCAGAGUUGUGUCGUAUACAGCGGGAAACACAAGCGGAGUCAGUCAGUACUCUGAGCAGCUUUACUCUGUGGUUUCAACUGAGCUGAAGAGCAUGAAGUUCACAUUCAGACUGAAUUAGACACUUUCAAUAUAGACAUUUUAUUUAUCAACG